UUGCAUCAAAACCUCAGUCUUUGGAUCAUAAAAUCACCAUGUAAACCAGCUGCCAGGACAGACCUGAGAGCACCUGGAGGUCAGAGAUACAGAGAGGACUGUGCAGCACACAGCACCAGCCAGCUUGCAUGUCAGUGAGAAUACUCAAGAUGUUUUUAGAACAUUUCAGUGAAGCUGAGGAAAUCGACUGUGGUCACAGUUUUUAGCUUGGGAAAAAAGGAGAGGAAAAAAAGGCAAUUUGUUGAACCAAAAGCAAA
rnacentral:lncRNA from 1 species